rnacentral:rRNA from 1 species
AUUGAACGCUGGCGGCAUGCUUUACACAUGCAAGUCGAACGGUAACAGGCCUUCGGGUGCUGACGAGUGGCGAACGGGUGAGUAAUGCAUCGGAACGUACCCAGAGGUGGGGGAUAACGCAGCGAAAGCUGUGCUAAUACCGCAUGUGAUCUGAGGAUGAAAGCGGGGGACCGAGCAGCAAUGUUUGGCCUCGCGCCUUUGGAGCGGCCGAUGUCGGAUUAGCUAGUUGGUGGGGUAAAGGCCUACCAAGGCGACGAUCCGUAGCUGGUCUGAGAGGACGACCAGCCACACUGGGACUGAGACACGGCCCAGACUCCUACGGGAGGCAGCAGUGGGGAAUUUUGGACAAUGGGCGCAAGCCUGAUCCAGUAAUGCCGCGUGCGGGAAGAAGGCCUUCGGGUUGUAAACCGCUUUUGGCAGGAACGAAACGGUGUCCGCUAAUACCGGGCGCUAAUGACGGUACCUGCAGAAUAAGCACCGGCUAACUACGUG